rnacentral:tRNA from 1 species
AAGAUACUAGUAAAAUUUACAUAACUUUGUCAAAGUUAAAUUACAGGUGGAAAUCCUGUGUGUCUUU